rnacentral:rRNA from 1 species
ACGGAAGGCAGCGGUGGGGAAUAUUGGGCAAUGGGCGGAAGCCUGACCCAGCAACGCCGCGUGAAGGAAGAAGGCCUUCGGGUUGUAAACUUCUUUUAUCAGGGACGAAGAAUGUGACGGUACCUGAUGAAUAAGCCACGGCUAACUACGUGCCAGCAACCGCGGUAAUACGUAGGUGGCGAGCGUUAUCCGGAUUUACUGGGUGUAAAGGGCGCGUAGGCGGGGAUGCAAGUCAGAUGUGGAGUCUAUGGGCUUAACCCAUAAACUGCAUUUGAAACUGUAUCUCUUGAGUGUCGGAGAGGUAGAUGGAAUUCCUAGUGUAGCGGUGAAAUGCGUAGAUAUUAGGAGGAACACCAGUGGCGAAGGCGAUCUACUGGACGAUAACUGACGCUGAGGCGCGAAAGCGUGGGGAGCAAACAGGAUUAGAUACCCUGGUA